AGCGCGGGGGACGGAGCGGGAGACGCGUUCGCGCCGGUUGCAGCUCCCUCGGCGGCUCCGGGAUCGGCGCCGCUCGGGUCCCGCCAACCCGGAGCCCCUCGGGAAAGGUUUUGCUGUGGGAUAUUUUGUCAUUAUGAGAUGUCGUCUACCAGUGCUUCAUUUGUGCAAAUUAAAUUUGAUGACUUGCAGUUUUUUGAGAACUGCGGUGGAGGGAGUUUCGGGAGUGUCUACCGAGCCCGAUGGAUUUCUCAGGACAAGGAGGUGGCAGUAAAGAAGCUGCUCAAAAUAGAAAAAGAGGCAGAAAUACUCAGUGUGCUGAGUCACAAAAACAUCAUUCAGUUCUACGGAGCUGUCAUUGAACCUCCAAAUUAUGGCAUAGUUACAGAGUAUGCUUCUGCUGGCUCACUGUUUGAUUACAUUAAUAGUAACAAAAGUGAAGAGAUGGACAUGGAUCAUAUCAUGACCUGGGCAACUGACAUAGCUAAAGGAAUGCACUAUUUACACAUGGAAGCUCCAGUGAAAGUUAUCCACAGGGACCUGAAGUCCAGGAAUGUUGUUAUAGCUGCUGAUGGUGUGUUAAAGAUCUGUGAUUUUGGUGCUUCAAGGUUCCACUCCCAUACGACACACAUGUCAUUAGUGGGCACUUUUCCAUGGAUGGCCCCAGAAGUUAUUCAAAGUCUUCCAGUGUCUGAAACAUGUGACACAUACUCGUACGGAGUGGUUCUCUGGGAGAUGCUAACAAGGGAGGUCCCCUUUAAAGGCUUGGAAGGAUUACAAGUAGCUUGGCUUGUAGUGGAAAAAAACGAGAGAUUAACCAUUCCAAGCAGUUGUCCCAGAAGUUUUGCAGAACUGAUGCAGCAAUGUUGGGAUGCUGAUUCAAAGAAAAGGCCAUCUUUCAAGCAGAUCAUUUCAAUCCUGGAAUCUAUGUCAAAUGACAGCAACCUUCCAGACCAGUGUAACUCAUUCCUGCAUAACAAGGCGGAGUGGAGAUGUGAAAUAGAGGCAACCUUAGAGAGACUAAAGAAACUGGAGCGUGAUCUGAGCUUUAAAGAGCAGGAACUAAAGGAACGGGAGCGACGUUUGAAGAUGUGGGAGCAGAAGUUAACUGAACAAUCAAAUACUCCUUUGCUGCCCUCCUUUGAUAUUUGUGCAUGGACCGAAGAUGAUGUGUUUUUCUGGAUGCAACAACUUACUAGAAAAGGCGAUGCUUCUGGUGAAAUGAGUGUCUAUGCUAGCUUGUUUAAGGAACAUCAUAUCACUGGGAAACAAUUGCUUCUUCUAGAAGAAGAGGAUUUAAAGGACAUGGGAAUUGUUUCCAGAGGACACAUCAUCCAUUUAAAGACUGCUAUCGAGAAGUUAACCCAUGACUACCUAAAUCUGUUUCAUUUUCCACCGUUAAUUAAGGAUUCUGCAGGUGGAGCUGAAGAAAACAUAGAGAAAGUAGUGAAUCUUGAACUUGUGUUUGGUUAUCACUUGAAGCCAGGAAAUGGUCCAAAGGAUUGUAAAUGGAAAAUGUACAUGGAGAUGGACGGGGAUGAAAUUGCAAUAACCUACAUAAAAGAUGUGACAUUCAACACUAACCUACCUGAUGUAGAGAUUUUAAAGAUGACAAAGCCACCGUUUGUAAUGGAGAAAUGGAUUGUGGGGAUAGAAGAACACCAGUCUGUAGAAUGUGUUGUUACAUAUGAGAGUGAUGUUAGAGCUCCCAAAAGCACCAGGCACAUCCAAGCUAUCUGCUGGAGCAAGGUGAAAGCACAGGACGAGGUUGAGACAGUACAGCUCAUGAUACAGACCUCGGUCCCCAACUCGGAGGGGAAUUCGCGGAGCAGAUCUGACUCAGGAAUUGACAGUCAGUGGAUGCAGACACUGCGUAUGCUUCAGAUAGCAAAAGCCGUUUCUCACCAGCACAGCCACCCCCACAGCCCGACCACAGUCACCCACUACCUGCCCUACCUUCACAGCCAAGACUCCUACGCUGCAGCCGUCAGGAGGACACCCGCUCCUGUCAGUCACCAGUUCACAUCCAUCAGCCACUCCAGGAACUCUUCUCCUAUCUCGCAUAGUUUGAUGAGAAACCUCUCGAAUCUGCAUCUGAACUCAAAAGGCAGCAGUGCCUCCAGCACAGCCUCAGACACUGCUUCGGAGAGGGACAGGUCUGCUGGCAAAGGCAGAAACACCCCACACAGCGGUAACUCCCGCAGCUCCUCAGGCGGGCGGCGCAGUGGGACCAGCUCCCCAGUGCCCCCCCGACACUUGGGAAGACCCAGCAGGACUGCUUUGCCAGUGGCCCCUCCGGCCUCCCAGCACCGCAGGUACCUACAUUUUCAUUUUCCAGGGUUUAAAAGGUUCUGAAUUAUAAGAAGCCAGCUCUGAGAUGGCUGCUGGAAUGGAUGAUGAAAAACAGCAGAGACCUCAUGAAGGCAAAUUCAGAACUGGACAUCCAAAGUGAGAUGUCUUAAAAAAAAGAGAAAAACAGGAGGACGAUGGAGAGCAGACAUUUACCACUGAGGUCAGCAAUCAUUCUUUAGCUCAGAGCUGGGUCUGAUCCUGGUGGAUGUUGUCUUCCUAAGUACACAAGUUUCCCCAGCAGCACUGGUGUACCUGCCACUACCAUCAGAAGGACUGGCUGUAAGAGGUCAGAGACAUGUGCUGUGAACCAGCUGCCAAUUCAAGUGCCUGUGGAACUCUGCUCCUGAGCGUAGUGGGCAGCACGUGAAUGUGAGACUCCUUGGAGCAAAAACAUUGCCCAGCCCUGCAAACACAGGCUGCUUUUGUUCACAUACAACCAGGGCACGAGGGGCUGCCCAUAUGCAGCUUGCUCGAGAGCCAAAGGUCUUUCUGAAAGGGGGAGAGCUGCUCAGAGGACUUUUGUAGCAGGUCAUCUGCCUGAGUUGGAAGAGCAAAUUCACAGAAGGAUGAUUGUCACAGAGGUGACAGCCCACUGAACUGUCGAGGGGGGCCCAAAAUCAUAAACAACUCCAGGCUGUUCCUCACCCUAACCCCCUUGUGACAUGAGCAGACCGUCAAUCCAUCUCAGGGCAGUGGAGCUGCAGAGGUUGCUUUUUAUGGCCUGGGCAGGAAUUUCCCCCAGCUCAGUGUUUGAUUUGGGCAGCACUGUAAUCUCUUUCUCUUCCAGCAUUUCUAGUUCUUACUUUGGCCUCAUAUUGAUUUUGACAGACAUACCAAAAUAUAAUGCCUGCACUGCGCUUGUCAGGAAGAUAAAUAGAAGUAAUGAUCAGAGAGGGGAGAUGAGGUGGCCAUCUGACCCCUUUUCACUGGGGAAUGCAGCUGCCAGGAUUUCAGCCUGUCCAACUGCUGCCAUGGCUCCCUGUACCUCUGUGCUGGGGGAAAUCUGGUCAUACUACCUGGGUGGGAUGGGGUGACUGUGGGACCUGCUCAUCCUCCGCUGAUGUUGCUGAGACCUGCCUUCAGCAGGCGGAAUGCCAGCAGCCCCUCUGUCUCCCCAUCUACACCUAGAUCUCAGUGAUGCCGUGCCAGUGGACAAAACACUGCCAUGCUCCCAGGAAUGGUGGGUCUCAGGGCUAGGUUUCACAGGUGGUGUUGCUGCUGGUUGGUUUAUUUCCAUGAAAUGCUAGAGAAAGUAAAUCCAGUUCCUGUUCAGCUGGGAGGGGAGAGUGCCCCUUUGUGCCUUCCCCCAGUGCUGCCAUGGCUGAGCUAAUUCCCCAUGAGAACCUGCUUUCUUGCUGGCAUCGGUGUGAAAUGUGGAUGGGUGGUUUUGGACAUAGUUUACUUUUUAAAGAAAGUAUUUGCUAUUGUGCAGUUUUGCUCUAUCUUACCUGCUCCCGCUGAUUAUUUUCUAGCAGUUGGCCUUGUCUGACAGCAUGCUGACCACAAUCUGUCAACUUGCUGAGCUGAUUUAAGCAGCAGAGGUUGCUUAAACCCUCUGUCCUUCCUCACUCAGAGCAAGAGCCCCCAGGCAGGGCACCCCUCACCUCUGUCCUCCUCUCUAGCUCAGCCCAUGCUGCUGAGGAUCAAACUCCAUGUAUUUCAAGACUUCCUAUAACUUGCAAGCUUGCUGCCAAGAACACUGGACUUGUGCAUCAACUAUAUGCAAUUGAUUUUUGGAUUGUGCUAUAGAAUGCACUUUGACAUAACAACAAUAAUAAUAAUUAUUACUUUAGGCUGGGAAAGACGGGCAGUGGCUUAUGUAACUGUGGAAAAACCCCGAACUAAGAGACCCCCUGACAUCUAAUGUCACUAAAAUGGAACCAAAUAGCUGUGCUACCUCUGAAAAUUACAUCUGACAGAAUUAUUUUCUGUAUGUGUCCACCAUAGAAGGGUUUUUACAUGAUAUUCUUAUCUAAUGAAUUGCCAAAGCGUAGCAGUUCGAGCUAGUUUGUUGCAAGAAGUUAGAGGUUAGAGAGGAGAAGUCUAUUACAGCAAUAACACUAAUAAGGGUCUGCCAAGAUCACACUUGAGUACAUGUAAAUACAGGGCAUUUGAGAUUAACAUCUCAGAGGACAGAGGAAUGGUGCUGAGAGGCAGUGACCGCUUGGGAAAAACGAGAGCUGGGGCUAGAGGGUGCAGCCUUUCCCUGCAGCUCCCACUCCAGCACCACUACGCUCCCCUCCGCCCACAGCAGCCGCAGCCCACUGCUCCCGCCUCUGCCACCCCCUGCCCGAGGGUCGCAGCCUCUUCCAGGAAAUUUCAUGAGGCGGUUUGGCAGGUUCUGACGGGCGGCAGGCGUGAACCCUGUGCUGUGUGGAAUGAAGUGGCUUAAUAUAUCUGGGGCUCAACAUAUACACUUGGCAAGCAAGGUGAGGGCUUCCUGCAGCAGAGAGGGCAUUUCCCUCAUGCUGUGAAAAAAUCCGAGGGCCCGAAAACUUGAGAUGUGCCCUGGGGACUCCGUGGCAGGUAGUAGCAAGCCUUGAGGGAGGCUUUUUACCUGCCCCUCCCACUUCGUUCCUUCUGAGAGAGCUGCCAGGAGAGAGAUCCCUGGGGAGAAGGUCGUGCUACUGUUUGUCCCCCCACUCCCAACCUCUCCCAGCAACCACAUUUUGUUGAGGGCUGGUGGAGGCGAUGCAAAUCAACAUUUCCAAAGCGGCAGUGGCAAAGCUUGUGUAACAGGGAAAAAACCUAGACUACAGUAAGUAUUUUUGAUUAUUUUCUGAUAGCUUCCUGUUUCCCGCAGCUAUACAUUUGUAGAAUAUGUUGUAAGCGAUUUCUUUAUGAUGUUACUAAAUGUAAUUUGUGUUUUCAAAGGGAAUUAUAAAUCAAAAACAAUGAAAAGGCUGGAAUCCUAAGCUUUAAAAAGUGGCUACUGCAUAUCAACAACAGCUACUUUUGAUCAACAUUUUUUGCUAUGCGUUUUGUGGAAUGGCUACAGGAUACUCAAAUGAGCAUUGUAAUUAAACUCCCAUCAUGUGCAUCAUAAUUCUCUGGACUCCAAAUGAUCUGCUACGACUUAUACUUGGAAUAAUCAUUAAGGUUUCUAUUGAAACUGGCCACAUUUCAUCCAUUCCCUUAGUGCACUGAGGAAUACAGUAUCAAUCACACUUUUUCUCUCACUGAACUGUAUUAUUCCUCUAGUUUUCCUUCUCUUAGUUUUUUCAUUUGUAUGGUCUUGCCAGUGUCAAAGAAACACAGUAUCAAAUAGUAUCAGACAUGACCACUUCAAUUCAACAUGCAGGAUGCAUUUGCACUCAGCCUUUACUAAUAAGGAAGUUACAGCAAAGCACAAGGAGAUAAAAAUCUGACAAAUUAAAAGAAGAAAAUGUAUUUCUCCUUGGAGAGACAAAAAAAGAAAAAAUACACUAAUUGCAUUGGGGAGGUAUUUUGUGGAGCUGGUACAGUUGGUCUUACUAUAAACUGAUUUGUUUACUAUAUAAACUGAUUGUACACUAUAAAUACUUAAAUUUAUAUUUAUAUUUAUUUUACAAAAUCUGAUUCUACCUAUCAGAGCACAGUGUCAAAGUAUUAACAUUAAAAAGGUACUCCAUAAAAAUUCACAUCCAGCAAACAUGUAGACAUCUAACUAUAAUUAAAUCUUCAAAAGUGGCCAUCCUCUCGCUUCUGUAUAAGAACAAGUGUGUCCUUUCUGGGUUGCAAUCAAUAGCAGGUUACCUGAUUAUACACCUUAUUAUGUCUUGUAUAGUAGUGUGAGCCACUGGAGGGUGACAUGUGAACAAAUAGAUAUGCUCGAUCAGAUCUUUUCAAGAAACACACCUUACAGGAGAGAGAAAAACAAUUAGUGUGUGUUAUAGGUUACUGAUUUACAAUUUACAUCAUAAAUCAAUGUCUGAUUAUUUUAAUGCAAAAUAUUUUUAGCUUCAUUUUUUUGCACUAAUGGUUUCAAUAACACACUAUAAUUUGCUCAGAUAGAGCAAUUGAAGAGGUGAUUGGACAGCUCUUACAGAAAUUUUUAAUUACUGUCAUUAGUGGCUGCAAUCUUAUUCUUUUCUAUGGAGCUAAGAUACAGGUUAUUGCAUUGUGCCACAACUGCUCUGUGGCCAUGAGAAUCCAAACUCUCUCUUUCCUCUGAAAUGCUAGCUUCUAUAAAUAUGUGUCUGUGCAAGUCUCACCACAAUAAUUACAAGCAUCACACAAACAUUAACUAAUGUACCCAGAUACUCUUUUAGGCAGGUAUGGUGGUACAUCCCCACCCUUGGGCCGUGCUGUGAUCUCUGAAAUACUCAUUAGGCCUCAGCCUUGACAAACAGCACCUGGGCUUAGCUUCUGUUGAGCUUGUCAGAAACAGUGUCUGCUCCCAGGAGCUUAUGCUAUCUAGUGAGCUCCUAGUUUUUAAAGAACAGACUUGAAAAGUGACUUUUCUUGCCUGAAUAACAACCCAGCUGAAAUAAUAUUUUUGUUAUCAGACUUUCAAAGAAAAGUACUGACCCAAAUUGAGGCCAAGAUGAAAAAUUACUAUGAUUAAAGCCAACUGUCUUGCAAUCCUAUAAACAGCAGUCCUAAGUGAGACUCUUUGAGCCCUCCUGGACCACAGUGGACUGUGACCAGCAUGUCCCUCUGAGUGAGAUGCCUCUCAGAGCCAGAGAACUCUCAAGUUUGCUGUACUUGGAGGACCACCACCGAACACCAAUGAUGGAGCCUGGGCUGAUACCCCCACUCCUCAAGGCUCAACCUAUUGAGAAGAUGCACAGGCAUCUGACAUGAGCACUUCACUAAAUUCGAGGGGAAUUUUUCAAAUGUAUGUACAAAUCUUCUACAUACAUUUAGGUCUGUGUGUGUGUGAGUGUGAAUAUGCUAUAGCAAAUGUAGUAUGAAUGUUGCUCUCUUAGAUUCUUAAGUAUUUUAGAUUCAUAAGGAAGUUAAGCCUAUAAUUGAGUUGCUGUUAUGCUAUAGAAAAUUCUAUAAGAAUCUUUUGUCAAAUUGUGUACAUUAAGCUAUCAAUUAAGUGCUGUUAAGUUUAAGUGCUUUUAAAAACUUUUAGGCCUAAACCAUUAUUCAAGUCUGGGGCUAAGUUUGUCAAGGAGGUCAAACUACUCUGAACCUUGUGACUCAACGGGAACAUCUCCCUUAUUCCUUUCUAUCCUUAGCCUUUCUCAUCCUUACCGUUUUUCCAUGUAGAUAAUUUUUGGUUGAUUUUAGUUUUAGAUUGAUUGAUUUUAGAUUUCAGUACAGUUUUUCUCUGUGUGCUUUAACCAUCUAGUAAGUAGAAGAGUAAACAUUGCCAAUGAACUUUGUUAUGCUUUCACUUUUGUAUUAAACCUGCUUUUGCCGAUACCUUUGCCGGUGAUUCUCUGAGUAUCCUAAAACACUCAUUCAUGACAGCAGGUAAAAAUGUAUUGCUCCAAUUUGAAAAAAAAAAAAAAAAGGGAGAGAAGCAUAAAGUGUAUUGUCCAUAGUUAA